CUCUCUUCCCUCAGUCUUCAUUGGACAUUUGAAGGAGGAGGAACGGUCCCCUUCUUCCUCCUCCUCUUCCUCCUCUUCCUCCUCCUCCUCUUCCUCCUCAUCCUUUAAAAAGUGAGAGAAGGUUAAAACUACUACUACUACUACGACUACUACUACGACUACUACUACUACUACUACUACUACUACUACCACGACUACUACUACUACUACUACUACUACCUCGUUAGUCAUUUCAAGCAUAGAAUGGGCUUUUCAGAAAUGGAUGGGUUUUUCCUAUCAAUCUUCCUCGCUGUGUGCAUUGUGGUGGCAGUCCUCGUGCGGUGCCUGUGUUACCGCCUCUCCUGCGUCAGAGAACUCCUUUCCGGCGCCCCUGAGAGUCACCCAGGGGAGGAAAUUCUACCUCGAACUACCGCUACUGUCAUCACCCCAGCCAGGCAUUCCAGGGUCACGUCCACUGUGGGUGUAAACAUACCUGAUUCACCAAUGCCUCAACAUGGUGCUGUGUUUACAAUCUAUACGUUUCCAGAGCAGGACUCCCCCAGGCCGCCCCCACGCACCCCAGAGCCGCCCAAAUAUUGUUCCCUCCCUCAGGAUUUACCCCCGAAAUAUGAAGAUUUAUUCCCCCUUGCCGAUUUUGCGCUGGCGUGUAAAAAUAGCGGUGUCUCUGGUGUCAAAGUGGUGAAUAAUAAUUACACUAGUGAGAAUAAUAAUAGUAAUGGUGGUGGUGGUGGUGGUGGUGGUGGUAGUGGUGGUGAUAGUCAGGUUAACGCCAAUGCUUCUACCAGUAGUAUGCAUAAAGAUACUAUUCCUACUACUCCUCCUACUACUACCACUACAGAUAGUACUGCUACUACUACUACUACUACUACAGACAAUACCACCACCACUACUACCACUACUACUUCUACUACACUAUCACCACCAUCUACUUUAGACAUUCCCACUACUACUACUACUACUACUACUGCUGCUGCUACUACCCCCCAGCCCUCCCACCCCCUCCCCCUCGCCAAACAGAUCACCCAGACCAAAUAGAUUGAAUACUACUACUACUACUACUACUAAUUCUACUACUACUACUACUACUACGACACCUCCAGCCCUCCCUCCCCUCCCCCUCUCCCAAUAGAUCCCCAAUGACUAAUAGAAGAUGAAAAAGAGUAAAUUUGUAAUUAUUAUUAAGUCUUAAAGUUUACUUGAGAACCCCUCCAAAAAUCCCUCAUAGAAAACGGUUACUUGGAGAAAAUGGAGGAUUGAAGGGGAAAAAAGUGAUGGGUUGAUGGAAUGGUGAAUAAAUAUGAAGGUUGUGAAGGAAAGUGAUGGAAAUAGAAGGAAAUGAAGGAAGAAAACGGGGAAAUAGAGGGAAAUGAAGGAAGAAAACGGGAAUUAUCAGGAAGCACGAUAGAAAUGAAAGAAAAAAUAGAUAAAAAAAAACAAUGAAAGAGAAAAGAACUGGAAGGGAGAAGAAAACAGGAAAAAAUAAUAAUAAUAAAUAAUAAUAAACGAGGUGAAAGAAAUGAAAGAAAAUAAAAAAUAUUUGUGAUCUAAAAAAAAAUGAGUCCGUCCAUAAAAUUAUAAGGUUGUGACAGAAAACGGGGGACAAAGCGACCUUGAGCCAUUAAAGAAAACGCGUUGAGAGAGAGAGAGAGAGAGAAGCAUUCCAUAUAUUAAGAGAUGCAGUUUUAUUUUAUAUUUAAAGAGAGAGAGAAAGAGAGAGAGAGAGAGAGAGAGAGAGAGAGAGAGAGAUGGCUUUGCUCAAUUAGUGCCAAUGCUGUUAUUAUUAUUAUUAUUAUUAUUAUUAUUAUUAUUAUUAUUAUUAUUAUUAUGAGAGAGAGAGAGAUAGAUAGAUAUCCAAGUGCCUUAUGUUAAUUAAGACCAAUUACUUAAUUACAAAUAACUCAUAAAGGUGCAAAUUAUUAUUAUUAUUAUUAUUAUUAUUAUUAUUAUUAUUAUUAUUAUUAUUAUUUAUAUACAUACUAACAACACACACACACACACACACACACACACACACACACACACACACACACACACACACACACAUUUAUAUAGAGGCAUUAUGUAUUAUUCUAUAUACAGGAAAAAUUUGUGUAUGUCAGAGAGAGAGAGAGAGAGAGACAUUCCAAUUAUAAAUAUGCACUUUUUCAUUUGAUUUUCUUUUUAUUUAUAUUUGAGAGAGAGAGAGAGAGAGAGAGAGAGAGAGAGAGAGAGAGAGAGA